CAGUCGCCACGGGAAAACGUAGGUGGCAAGCGUUGUCCGGAAUUAUUGGGCGUAAAGCGCGCGCAGGCGGAUCAGUCAGUCUGUCUUAAAAGUUCGGGGCUUAACCCCGUGAGGGGAUGGAAACUGCUGAUCUAGAGUAUCGGAGAGGAAAGUGGAAUUCCUAGUGUAGCGGUGGAAUGCAUAGAUAUUAGGAAGAACACCAGUGGCGAAGGCGACCUUCUGGACGAAAACUGACGCUGAGGCGCGAAAGCCAGGGGAGCGAACGGGAUUAGAUACCCGAGUAGUCCCUGUCUCUUAUACA
rnacentral:rRNA from 1 species